GAAGACAAACAAUGAACAAACGGAAUAAUUAAAUUCUGAAAAGUGAGGGUAUAGAUGUUUCAUGAAUUAUUUUCAAUAGAUUAAAACAAUUUUUCAUCAUAUUUAAGUUUUACGAUGUUAUUUUUGCCUAUAAAUAAUUCAAUGAUUCAUAAAAUCCAGAAAAAGUAUGUUAUCGAAAUAACAUCGAUUUUUCAAUGUAAUAUGUGUCAGGCAAUAAUUUAUUUAAAAAUAUUUUUCGCUUUUAGAAAUUUGUUUAAGCUGAAUCACACUGCAAAAAGAAGCUUCUUAAAAUUCACUGUAGUGAAGAUGAAUGCAUUUUAAGGAUUUUAAGAAGCUUUUGAUAACUUUCUCGAAACAACUUAGAAGUGACUACUAUAGUAUCUUGAAAUAAGAUGACUUCUUUUUACAGUGUACUUACUACAAGUAAGUGAAACGCUUUUUUCUUCAUUCGUAAAUAUUGCAGCCUUACAUCUGUAAAAUAAUUUACAACCUUAUCAGGCAAUGUUUGUCGUACAUUUCAAGAAAAAAGACGAUUAAAUGUAAUUUCUUCACAUUAAAAAGAACAUCCACUAUGAAAACAGGCGUGAAGUGUUUUUAAAUUCUUUAGAAGUUAGUCAGCAGCAGUGACCAAUGAUGGUAGUUGUUCAAUAUUAACAAGUUGCCCUUAUUAACUCUUUAAUUAGAACGAGUCAAACGAACCGCGUCUUUCGUGUUUUCAUCUUCAGUCUUGCGAUUGACAGUUCGGUAUAGUCAAGUCUCCAACAGUUUUUGUGUCGGUUAACAUUUCAAUAUUCUUUUAGAAUUUCGAGGUGUAAACGAAUAACUCUUGUUGAAUUACUUUGCACUCUUUUAAUCUAAAUUAGUAGAAUUUUCGUUAAUUUAAUUAGUAAUUAUUAAAAGUAAACUUUUCUAGCAGCGCCAAAUUCUUCCAAUUUUAGCAGUGUAGUUCAUUUCAUAUGCAACGAAAUCAAAAAGAGUAAAAAGUAUGUAAUGUGAAGCAUUCUUCACUAAAGUGAACAAAGUCCUAAAAUUUAAUCUAUUUUCAAGAAAAAUAGUGUUGGAAAAUUCUGCUUUUUAAAUACGAAGAAACUAGCCUACAAUAUUGGAAUAGAAAAAUGUGAAGAAGUCAGAUGCAACUGAAUUUAUGAGACAACUUUAACUACAGAGCUUUUAAAUGAUAUUAAAGAAAAAAAGGUGGAUGAUUGGUAAAACAUCGAUAUAAGGGCCUCUCUUAAAAGGAUCGACCUUUUCAAUUGACGUAACGUCCUUGGAUACUAUCGUCAGUGUCAGUUCACGAACUGGUACAACUCUUCUCUAUUUGACUAUUCCAUUACCAUAAUUUAAACGAGCAGGUAAGUGCAAAAAUAUUAUAAAUAAAUUUUUAAACCAUUAAAAUUUUAUAUUCAAUUUAUAAACCUAUUUAAAAUGUUGACUUUUAAACCUUUGGGUAUUAAAACUUUAUUCCAUUAAAUUCCAAUUAAUUACUCCCAUAACUGUAGUCUUUCAUGUUUUAUUUCACGAUUUUUAAGUCUUAUAAAAAUGCAAUAUAAGUAUUUUAACAUUUGUGUAAAUUUCAAAGACGAUAAUGAAACAAACAAAUAAACCUAAAUUUCUCAAGAAGAAUUACUGACAAAAUUACAUGGUUCUACUAAUGAAAAUAAAUGUA